CCCGGGCCUCGGCCAGGACUCCCCGCCCCGCUCCUCCAAGUCCGCCGCCGCGUCUGCACAAGCGUGGUCCCGUUUGAAGCACCCGCUUCUUUCUUUCCUGGUUUCCUCUCUACUUCUCGGUUCUGUCCUAGUUUGGGCACGAGUGGGAGGCGGGCAACAACUUGGGGCCAGCGGCGUUGGCUGCUCAGCCUCAUGGGGAUAACUUGAGCAGUCGGGUCCCAGGAGGGAGAGAAAUCAGAAGAAGAAAUGAAAACUAGAAUCAUUUCCCCACAAAGUCGAACGACCCACUCGCGUUUAACUCCUUUCUGGGACAGUCGCCCGCAUCUCAGCACAAGCCGGAAGGACCGGGAGAGAGUGCAACUCGGCGUCUGAGCCUGGCGGCGGAGGCUGGCGGUUUGGUCCACAGCGACGCGAGACUGCGCCCUCGGGGACCCGGCGAGGGGCCAGAGCAAGCCCGCCCUGCUGCUGCGGGGGCCACGCGGGAGAGACCUUCGCCACGAGCCGCGGUUUUGUUUCCAUGGAAGAAGAAAUUCACAGACCCUUGAAGCCUGUCUUAUGAAUCCCACGUUAAGCACCUCUACUUCUAGAGAAGAGAAAUGCUACAACCCUGAGGAUGACGCUUUUAAAGUCAAGCCUCCAGAUGAGAAUGCAGACCAGAGGACACCUUAAUUUUGGCUUCGUGAAACCCUAAGCAGAGGACCCAGUUAAGCCAUGCCUGGACUCCUGACCCAGCAAAAUUUAUUUGAAGAGUUCCUCCGAGAUGACAGCAUAAGAAGACCCUGAACUCACCUCCCACAGACACACUGAUUUUACACCUACACACAGAGCAAUUUCUCCUGAAGAAGAACUGAGGGCUGAUUGAACAGCUUCUGUACAACCGACAAUAGAGGGACCACGCAGAGACAGUUGUCCUCAUUCUACUCUAUGCCUGUUUCUUCAACUGUAGAAAGAGAAUACAUGCCUACCACUCUGACACCUGCGGUUCUCAACUGGGGACAGUUUUGCCAUCCAAAAUUAUACCACAAAGUUGGUCCGGUGAGGACACUGCCACUGGCACCCUGAACACUGACUUGUACACCUUGUGCCUGGGACAGGAGGCUGCAUCCCUGGUGACGAGUAGCUGCAGCCCCUUAGCACUGGGUGCUGCGGACACUGCUGCUGGCGCUGAAGACAAUCUCCUUGCUGUUCCUGCUCCUCUCUGUCCCCUGUGUCAAGGUCUGGAGCCCGUAUAGUGAACCUUUGAGGCCUGAGAUGUUAACUGCAAAUGAUGCUGUGACAAAAACCAGAGCCUGGGCCUCAGCAGGUAGAGAAGAACAGGUGGGCGUAUGGAUCCGAAGGGUGGUCUCGGAUGCUCCUACUGCGGGAGAAGAGCCUCCUCACCACGUGCUGCUGGCCAAGCCUGAGCCCGGGCGGCCGCCCUCGUGCCCGCAGACUGUCUUACACAGGAUGCCUGAUGUUGAGAGGGGAGAAGCAGGGAGCCGGUGGGAGUGAAGUGGCUUCCCACA